UCCGGUUUGUCACCGGCAGUCUCAUUAGAGUGCCCAACUGAAUGUAGCAACUAAUGACAAGGGUUGCGCUCGUUGCGGGACUUAACCCAACAUCUCACGACACGAGCUGACGACAGCCAUGCAGCACCUGUGUAUCCGUUCUCUUGCGAGCACUCCCAUAUCUCUACGGGAUUCGAACCAUGUCAAGGGUAGGUAAGGUUUUUCGCGUUGCAUCGAAUUAAUCCACAUAAUCCACCGCUUGUGCGGGUCCCCGUCAAUUCCUUUGAGUUUUAACCUUGCGGCCGUACUCCCCAGGCGGUCGACUUCACGCGUUAGCUUCGUUACUGAGAGUGUCAAACCCCCAACAACCAGUCGACAUCGUUUAGGGCGUGGACUAC
rnacentral:misc_RNA from 1 species